GCCCGCUCAAGAACUCAAAGGAAUUGACGGGGCCCGCACAAGCGGUGGAGUAUGUGGUUUAAUUCGAUGCAACGCGAAGAACCUUACCUGGUCUUGACAUCCCGGAGACCCUUAGGAAACUAGGGGGUGCUUCCAUCUGGAAGAAUCUGGAGACAGGUGCUGCAUGGCUGUCGUCAGCUCGUGUCGUGAGAUGUUGGGUUAAGUCCCGCAACGAGCGCAACCCUUGCCUUUAGUUGCCAGCAGUUCGGCUGGGCACUCUAAAGGGACUGCCGGUGUUAAACCGGAGGAAGGUGGGGAUGACGUCAAGUCCUCAUGGCCUUUAUGACCAGGGCUACACACGUACUACAAUGGCCGAUACAAAGGGCAGCGACACUGCGAGGUGAAGCCAAUCCCGUAAAAUCGGUCUCAGUCCGGAUUGGAGUCUGCAACUCGACUCCAUGAAGUUGGAAUCGCUAGUAAUCGUGGAUCAGCAUGCCACGGUGAAUACGUUCCCGGGCCUU
rnacentral:rRNA from 1 species